AACCUGGUUGAUCCUGCCAGUAGUCAUAUGCUUGUCUCAAAGAUUAAUCCAUGCAUGUGUAAGUAUAAGUAUUGUACAGCGAAACUGCGAAUGGCUCAUUAAAACAGUUAUUAUUUAUUUGAUAAUCGAAAGUUACAUGGAUAACCGUGACAAAUUACAGCUAAUACAUGCAUUCAGACCUGGUCCAAGGGUCGUAAUUAUUAGUAUUAAACCAUUUCCGCAAGGAGUGUGAUGAAUCAUAAUAAUCGAACGAAUCGCCUGGUGUGCGAUAAAUCAUUCAAGUUUCUGCCCUAUCAGCUUUGGAUGGUAGUGUAUUGGACUACCAUGGCAGUCACGGGUAACGGAGAAUUAGGGUUCGAUUCCGGAGAGGGAGCCUGAGAAACGGCUACCACAUCUACGGAAGGCAGCAGGAGCGAAAAUUGCCCAAUCCUGACACAGGGAGGCAGUGACAAGAAAUAUCAACUCUUGGAUUUCUAAGAAGUGAAAUGAGGAUAAUUUACAACCCUUACCGAAAGCAAUUGGAGGGCAAGUCUGGUGCCAGCAGCCGCGGUAAUUCCAGCUCCAAUAGCGUAUAUUAAAGUUGUUGCAGUUAAAAAGCUCGUAGUUGAAAUUCUGGCUGUUCGAUCCUCGAGCUCCGUAGCCGAGGGCUCGACAGUCAUCCGCUUGCAAAUAUACGUUCGCCUUUAACCGGGUGGCUAUAUAAGCAAGCAAUUUACCUUGAGAAAAACAGAGUGUUCCAGGCAGGUUUGUCCGGGAAUGCGUUAGCAUGGAAUAAUAGAAUAUGACUGAAGUCGAUUUAUUGGUUUGAGGCUUUAGUAAUGAUUAAUAGGAACAGUCGGGGGCAUUGGUACUUGACAGUCAGAGGUGAAAUUCUAGGAUUUGUCAAAGACUAACAAAUGCGAAAGCAUUUGCCAAGGAUGUUUUCAUUAAUCAAGAACGAAAGUUAGGGGAUCAAAGACGAUCAGAUACCGUCCUAGUCUUAACUAUAAACUAUACCGACUCGGAUUCGGAUGAAUCAAAAAGUUCAUUCGGGACCGUAGGAGAAAUCAAAGUUUUUGGGUUCUGGGGGAAGUAUGGUCGCAAGGCUGAAACUUAAAGGAAUUGACGGUUUUGCACCACCAUGGAGUGGAGUCUGCGGCUUAAUUUGACUCAACACUGGGAAACUCAUCAGGGCAAGAAGAUUUUAGGAUUGACAGAUUGAGAGUUCUUUCUUGAUUGGUCUAGUGGUGGUGCAUGGCCGUUCUUAGUUGGUGGAGUGAUUUGUCUGGUUAAUUCCGUUAACGAACGAGACCUUAACCUGCUAACUAGUACUUUGAUGACAAAUCGAUGUUACUUCUUAGAGGGACUAUGUGAUGUAAUCACAUGGAAGUUUGAGGCAAUAACAGGUCUGUGAUGCCCUUAGAUGUCCUGAGCUGCACGCGUACUACAAUGGUGCUUUCAACGAGCUUUUCCUGAUCCGAAAGGAUUUGGGUAAUCUUUUUAGUAAGCACCGUGCUUGGGAUAGAUCUUUGUAAUUAUGGAUCUUGAACUAGGAAUUCCUAGUAAGCGCGAGUCAUCAGCUCGUGCUGAUUACGUCCCUGCAAAAUGUACACACCGCCCGUCGCUAUUACCGAUUGAGUGUAAAGGUGAACCUUCUCGAUAGUGUAAACUAGAAAUUAAGUAAACCUUUGCACUUAGAGGAAAUAAAAGUCGUAACAAGGUUUCCGUAGGUGAACCUGCAGAAGGAUCA
rnacentral:rRNA from 1 species